rnacentral:lncRNA from 1 species
GGCUCACAGAGGUAAAGUCUCUUGCUCAGUAUCACAGAGUUAUCAAAUGGUAAAGCAAGAAUUUAAAUCAAGGUCUUUCAAGUAGUACAAUUUUUCUUACACACGAUUAAUUGAAAACCAUGAGGACUGUCCUUGGCCCACAGGAUUGGAUCUCCUUGCUGUGCUGACAGCUGGAUCUGUUCAUCAACUCACCACCUUUGUCCAGCCCCAUGACCUGGUCAAACCUCAGGCUAUCAAUGUGGUACAGCGGCUCCAGUACCCAGUAAAACCCAAAAUACAACAAAGGAGAACAGAAGAUGCAUGUAAUCUCGAUGUUUGAACGUUUGAAUGAUUGACUGAAAAGAAGACACAAACAAUUUCAAACAGUGUCUCUGGUACCAGGACAAACCAGGAACAUUCUGAUCCUAGAGUUGUUUAAACAAAGACUGGAGAGUACUGCCUUCUUUGGCGUACCAGAACCCACAGUAAAGUGGUAAAUUACUGUGUAACCAGAUGGGACCUUCAAGUCCAACACUAUCAAAUUAUAAAGAAGAAUUUCAGUAGCAGCUCGGAUUACAACCUCACUCACUCCACUGAGCCACUCUGAGUAUUGCAAAACACUUAUAGGAUGCAGCUAGGUCUGUUGUCGUCUGGAUGAUUAUAGCACAAGUGAAACAGAAGACUAAGAGAUUUGAAGGCGUUAAUGCUGGAAAUAGUGAUGGAUAGUCACUAUAUUUCUGAGCUAGGGAAGAAAAUGAGGCCAGAAGAUAAUUUGGAAACCAGG